AACGGCCGUACCAUGCUGAAUAUAUCGGUUCUCGUUAGAUCACCGAAGUCAAGCAUCAUUGGGCGCGGUCAGUACUUGGGUGGGUGACCACCUGGGAAUACUGCGUGCCGUU
rnacentral:rRNA from 1 species